GUCAGAGUGGCCGAGUGGUUAAGGCGUCAGACUUGAAGCGCUCAACAAAGCCGGAUCAUCCCGAUCUGGCGACACGUGAGCCUAGAUAUCUGAUUCCCUAGGGAUCGCAGGUUCGAAUCCUGUCUCUGACG